rnacentral:rRNA from 1 species
CGGGACACGUGGUAUCCUGUCUGAAUAUGGGGGGACCAUCCUCCAAGGCUAAAUACUCCUGACUGACCGAUAGUGAACCAGUACCGUGAGGGAAAGGCGAAAAGAACCCCGGCGAGGGGAGUGAAAAAGAACCUGAAACCGUGUACGUACAAGCAGUGGGAGCACGCUUAGGCGUGUGACUGCGUACCUUUUGUAUAAUGGGUCAGCGACUUAUAUUCUGUAGCAAGGUUAACCGAAUAGGGGAGCCGAAGGGAAACCGAGUCUUAACUGGGCGUUAAGUUGCAGGGUAUAGACCCGAAACCCGGUGAUCUAGCCAUGGGCAGGUUGAAGGUUGGGUAACACUAACUGGAGGACCGAACCGACUAAUGUUGAAAAAUUAGCGGAUGACUUGUGGCUGGGGGUGAAAGGCCAAUCAAACCGGGAGAUAGCUGGUUCUCCCCGAAAGCUAUUUAGGUAGCGCCUCGUGAAUUCAUCUCCGGGGGUAGAGCACUGUUUCGGCAAGGGGGUCAUCCCGACUUACCAACCCGAUGCAAACUGCGAAUACCGGAGAAUGUUAUCACGGGAGACACACGGCGGGUGCUAACGUCCGUCGUGAAGAGGGAAACAACCCAGACCGCCAGCUAAGGUCCCAAAGUCAUGGUUAAGUGGGAAACGAUGUGGGAAGGCCCAGACAGCCAGGAUGUUGGCUUAGAAGCAGCCAUCAUUUAAAGAAAGCGUAAUAGCUCACUGGUCGAGUCGGCCUGCGCGGAAGAUGUAACGGGGCUAAACCAUGCACCGAAGCUGCGGCAGCGACGCUUAUGCGUUGUUGGGUAGGGGAGCGUUCUGUAAGCCUGUGAAGGUGUACUGUGAGGUAUGCUGGAGGUAUCAGAAGUGCGAAUGCUGACAUAAGUAACGAUAAAGCGGGUGAAAAGCCCGCUCGCCGGAAGACCAAGGGUUCCUGUCCAACGUUAAUCGGGGCAGGGUGAGUCGACCCCUAAGGCGAGGCCGAAAGGCGUAGUCGAUGGGAAACAGGUUAAUAUUCCUGUACUUGGUGUUACUGCGAAGGGGGGACGGAGAAGGCUAUGUUGGCCGGGCGACGGUUGUCCCGGUUUAAGCGUGUAGGCUGGUUUUCCAGGCAAAUCCGGAAAAUCAAGGCUGAGGCGUGAUGACGAGGCACUACGGUGCUGAAGCAACAAAUGCCCUGCUUCCAGGAAAAGCCUCUAAGCAUCAGGUAACAUCAAAUCGUACCCCAAACCGACACAGGUGGUCAGGUAGAGAAUACCAAGGCGCUUGAGAGAACUCGGGUGAAGGAACUAGGCAAAAUGGUGCCGUAACUUCGGGAGAAGGCACGCUGAUACGUAGGUGAAGUCCCUCGCGGAUGGAGCUGAAAUCAGUCGAAGAUACCAGCUGGCUGCAACUGUUUAUUAAAAACACAGCACUGUGCAAACACGAAAGUGGACGUAUACGGUGUGACGCCUGCCCGGUGCCGGAAGGUUAAUUGAUGGGGUCAGCGCAAGCGAAGCUCUUGAUCGAAGCCCCGGUAAACGGCGGCCGUAACUAUAACGGUCCUAAGGUAGCGAAAUUCCUUGUCGGGUAAGUUCCGACCUGCACGAAUGGCGUAAUGAUGGCCAGGCUGUCUCCACCCGAGACUCAGUGAAAUUGAACUCGCUGUGAAGAUGCAGUGUACCCGCGGCAAGACGGAAAGACCCCGUGAACCUUUACUAUAGCUUGACACUGAACAUUGAGCCUUGAUGUGUAGGAUAGGUGGGAGGCUUUGAAGUGUGG